UACCUGGUUGAUCCUGCCAGUAGUCAUAUGCUUGUCUCAAAGAUUAAGCCAUGCAUGUGUAAGUAUGAACGAAUUCAGACUGUGAAACUGCGAAUGGCUCAUUAAAUCAGUUAUAGUUUGUUUGAUGGUAACUAGUACUCGGAUAACCGUAGUUAUUCUAGAGCUAAUACGUGCAACAAACCCCGACUUCUGGAAGGGAUGCAUUUAUUAGAUAAAAGGUCGACGCGGGCUCUGCCCGUUGCUCUGAUGAUUCAUGAUAACUCGACGGAUCGUAUGGCCUUCGUGCUGGCGACGCAUCAUUCAAAUUUCUGCCCUAUCAACUUUCGAUGGUAGGAUAGUGGCCUACCAUGGUGGUAACGGGUGACGGAGAAUUAGGGUUCGAUUCCAGAGAGGGAGCUUGAGAAACGGCUACCACAUCCAAGGAAGGCAGCAGGCGUGCAAAUUACCCAAUCCUGACACGGGGAGGUAGUGACAAUAAAUAACAAUAUCGGGCUCUUCGAGUCUGGUAAUUGGAAUGAGUACAAUCUAAAUCCUUUAACAAGAAUCCAUUGGAGGGCAAGUCUGGUGCCAGCAGCCGCGGUAAUUCCAGCUCCAAUAGGUAUAUUUAAGUUGUUGCAGUUAAAAAGCUCAUAGUUGAACGUUCGGAUGGGUCGCCCGGUCCGCCUUCGGUGAGCACCGGUCGGCUUGUCUCUUCUGUCGGCGAUACGCUCCUGGCCUUAGCUGGCCUGGUCGUGCCUCCGGCGCUGUUACUUUGAAUAAAUUAGAGUGCUCAAUGCAAGCCUACGCUCUGUAUACAUUAGCAUGGGAUAACAUCAUAGGAUUUCGAUCCUAUUGUGUUGGCCUUCGGGAUCGGAGUAAUGAUUAACAGGGACAGUCGGGGGCAUUCGUAUUUAAUAGUCAGAGGUGAAAUUCUUGGAUUUUUGAAAGACGAACAACUGCGAAAGCAUUUGCCAAGGAUGUUUUUCAUUAAUCAAGAACGAAAGUUGGGGGCUCGAAGACGAUCACAUACCGUCCUAGUCUCAACCAUAAACGAUGCCGACCAGGGAUCAGCGGAUGUUUCUUUUAGGACUCCGCUGGCACCUUAUGAGAAAUCAAAGUUUUUGGGUUCCGGGGGAAGUAUGGUCGCAAGGCUGAAACUUAAAGGAAUUGACGGAAGGGCACCAUCAGGAGUGGAGCCUGCGGCUUAAUUUGACUCAACACGAGGAAACUUACCAGGUCCAGACAUAGUAAGGAUUGACAGACUGAGAGCUCUUUCUUGAUUCCAUGGGUGGUGGUGCAUGGCCGUUCUUAGUUGGUGGAGCUAUUUGUCUGGUUAAUUCCGUUAACGAACGAGACCUCAGCCUGCUAACUAGCUACGUGGAGGCAUCCCUUCACGGCCGGCUUCUUAGAGGGACUAUGGCCGUUUAGGCCAAGGAAGUUUGAGGCAAUAACAGGUCUGUGAUGCCCUUAGAUG
rfam:Brassica napus, WGS project CCCW01000000 data, contig: 37120